rnacentral:pre_miRNA from 2 species
UCUUAUAGAUAAGCAAAGAAAGUGGCUUCUUGAGAUGGAAUCUACUCCUGGUGAAGAUGCUGUGAA